rnacentral:rRNA from 1 species
GAUGAACGCUGGCGGCGUGCCUAAUACAUGCAAGUCGAACGCUUCACAUAUGUGAAGAGUGGCGAACGGGUGAGUAAUACAUAAGUAACCUGGCCUUUACAGGGGGAUAACUAUUGGAAACGAUAGCUAAGACCGCAUAGGUGUGCAGAUCGCAUGAAGUGCACAUGAAAUAUGCUACGGCAUAGGUAGAGGCUGGACUUAUGGCGCAUUAGCUAGUUGGAGGGGUAACGGCCCACCAAGGCGACGAUGCGUAGCCGACCUGAGAGGGUGACCGGCCACACUGGGACUGAGACACGGCCCAGGCUCCUACGGGAGGCAGCAGUAGGGAAUUUUCGGCAAUGGGGGAAACCCUGACCGAGCAACGCCGCGUGAAGGAAGAAGUAAUUCGUUAUGUAAACUUCUGUCAUAGAGGAAGAACGGUGCGUGUAGGGAAUGACAUGCAAGUGACGGUACUCUAUAAGAAAGCCACGGCUAACUACGUGCCAGCAGCCGCGGUAA